rnacentral:rRNA from 1 species
AUACGGAGGAUGCGAGCGUUAUCCGGAUUUAUUGGGUUUAAAGGGUGCGUAGGCGGGCUGUUAAGCGUGAGGUGAAAGCUCGGGGCUCAACCCCGGAACUGCCUCGCGAACUGGCGGGCUUGAAUGUCCGUGCCGUGGGAGGAAUGUGUGGUGUAGCGGUGAAAUGCAUAGAGAUCACACAGAACACCGAUUGCGAAGGCAUCUCACGAACGGAUGAUUGACGCUGAGGCACGAAAGUGCGGGGAUCAAACAGGAUUAGAUACCCUGGUAGUCCGCACAGUAAACGAUGAUAACGCGCUGUUGGCUCGCAAGGAGUCAGUGGCCAAGCGAAAGCGAUAAGUUAUCCACCUGGGGAGUACGACCGCAAGGUUGAAACUCAAAUGAAUUGACGGGG